GGUUCCAUGGUGUAAUGGUUAGUACUCUGAAUCCAGCAAUCCGAGUUCAAAUCUCGGUGGAACCU